rnacentral:rRNA from 1 species
GAUGAACGCUGGCGGCGUGCCUAAUACAUGCAAGUCGAACGGAAAGGCCCUGCUUUUGUGUGGUGCUCGAGUGGCGAAGGGGUGUGUAACACGUGAGUAUCCUCUUCUUCACUGGGGGAUAACUUCAGGAAACUGGUUAUAAUACCGGAUAGGAGCUGCUGCUCCUUGGUGGGGUUGGAAAGUUUCGGCGGUUGGGGAUGGGCAUGCGGCUCAUGUGCUUGUUGGUGGGGUAGUGGCUUACCAAGGCUUUGACGGGUAGCCGGCCUGAGAGGGUGACCGGCAACAUUGGGACUGAGAUACGGGCGGGACGCGUACGGGAGGCAGCGGUGGGGAAUAUUGCACAAUGGGGGGAAGCCUGGUGCAGCAAGGCCGCGUGCGGGAUGACGGCCUUCGUGUAGUAAACCAAUUUCGCAGGUGACGGAGCGUGAGUGACGGUAAUGAGUAAAGAAGCACCGGCUAACUACGUG